rnacentral:rRNA from 1 species
GAUGAACGCUGACAGAAUGCUUAACACAUGCAAGUCUUUGGCGAAUCUGUGCUUGCACAGGCUAGCCAAGGCGGACGGGUGAGUAACGCGUAAAGAACUUGCCCUGCAGACAGGGAUAACAGACGGAAACGACUGAUAACACCUGAUACAGUUGCCGGCACGCAUGUGCCUGGCAAUGAAAAGAGAUGCUGCAGGAGAGCUUUGCGUCCUAUUAGCUUGUUGGUGAGGUGACGGCUCACUAAGGCGAUGAUAGGUAGCCGGCCUGAGGGGGUGAACGGCCACUAGGGGAGUGAGAUACCCCCCUUACUCCUACGGGGGGGAACAGUGGGGAAUAUUGGACUAGGGGGGCAACUCUGAUCGAGCAAUUCUGUGUGCAAGAAGAAGGUUUUCGGAUUGUAAAGUGCUUUCAGCAGGGAAGAAGAAAGUGACGGUACCUGCAGAAGAAGCGACGGCUAACUACGUG